rnacentral:rRNA from 1 species
GAGAGGAAAGCGGGGGAUCUACGGACCUCGCGCUGGUGGACAAGCCUACGUCCGAUUAGCUAGUUGGCAGGGUAAAAGCCUACCAAGGCGACGAUCGGGUAGCGUGGUCUGAGAGGAUGAUCAGCCACACUGGGACUGAGACACGGCCCAGACUCCUACGGGAGGCAGCAGUGGGGAAUAUUGGAAAUGGGCGCAAGCCUGAUCCAGCAAUGCCGCGUGGGUGAAGACGGCCUGCGGGUUGUAAAGCCCUUUAAGCGGGGAGGAACGCCGGAACGCGAAUACCGUUUCGGACUGACGUUACCCGCAGAAUAAGCACCGGCUAACUCCGUGCCAGCAGCCGCGGUAAUACGGGGGGUGCGAGCGUUAAUCGGAAUUACUGGGCGUAAAGCGUGCGUAGGCGGCGCAAUCAGUCAGCCGUGAAAGCCCCGGGCUUAACCUGGGGAAUGGCGGUUGAGACGGUUGGGCUAGAGUGGGCUAGAGGAUCGUGGAACUCCCGGUGUAGCGGUGAAAUGCGUAGAGAUCGGGAAGAACACCGGAU